rnacentral:piRNA from 1 species
UGAAACACAGAAAUAUCCGAAUCGUCCC